rnacentral:rRNA from 1 species
CAGCCACGGUAAAACCCGCUCCCCGAGUGGUGGGGACGCUUAUUGGGCCUAAAGCAUCCGUAGCCGGCUGGACAAGUCCCCUGUUAAAUCCAGCGAUUCAAUCGCGUGGGCUGGCGGGGGGAUACUGUCCCGGCUAGGGGGCGGGAGAGGCCGGCGGUAUUCCCCGGGGUAGGGGUGAAAAUCUUAUAAUCCCCGGGGAGGACCACCAGUGGCGAAGGC